rnacentral:rRNA from 1 species
GACGAACGCUGGCGGCGUGCUUAACACAUGCAAGUCGAACGGAAAGGCCCUGCUUUUGUGGGGUGCUCGAGUGGCGAACGGGUGAGUAACACGUGAGUAACCUGCCCUUGACUUUGGGAUAACUUCAGGAAACUGGGGCUAAUACCGGAUAGGAGCUCCUGCUGCAUGGUGGGGGUUGGAAAGUUUCGGCGGUUGGGGAUGGACUCGCGGCUUAUCAGCUUGUUGGUGGGGUAGUGGCUUACCAAGGCUUUGACGGGUAGCCGGCCUGAGAGGGUGACCGGCCACAUUGGGACUGAGAUACGGCCCAGACUCCUACGGGAGGCAGCAGUGGGGAAUAUUGCACAAUGGGCGGGAGCCUGAUGCAGCAACGCCGCGUGCGGGAUGACGGCCUUCGGGUUGUAAACCGCUUUCGCCUGUGACGAAGCGUGAGUGACGGUAAUGGGUAAAGAAGCACAGGCUAACUACGUG